rnacentral:sRNA from 1 species
UUCUACCUGCUGCGGACAGAUAAAGUGAAUAUGAGCAUCCACCGCGCCCGCCGUCAGAAUGGAUCCCUCACCGGCCACCACUUCGGUACCAGGACCGAUGAUCAGAUCCACGGCGUCCUGAAUAUCCGGAUUACCGGCCUUGCCGAUGCCGGCGAUGCGCCCCUGUUUGAUACCGACGUCGGCUUUAACGAUACCCCAGUGAUCGAUGAUAACGGCAUUGGUGAUGACCAGAUCCAUCGUAUCAUCAUCCAGUCGCUGGCUUUGUCCCAUACCGUCACGAA